ACACAUGCAGUCGAGCGGUAACAGAUCUAGCUUGCUGGAUGCUGACGAGCGGCGGACGGGUGAGUAAUGCAUAGGAAUCUGCCCGAUAGUGGGGGAUAACCUGGGGAAACCCAGGCUAAUACCGCAUACGUCCUACGGGAGAAAGGGGGCUCCGGCUCCCGCUAUGGGAUGAGCCUAUGUCGGAUUAGCUAGUUGGUGAGGUAACGGCUCACCAAGGCCACGAUCCGUAGCUGGUCUGAGAGGAUGAUCAGCCACAUCGGGACUGAGACACGGCCCGAACUCCUACGGGAGGCAGCAGUGGGGAAUAUUGGACAAUGGGGGCAACCCUGAUCCAGCCAUGCCGCGUGUGUGAAGAAGGCCCUCGGGUUGUAAAGCACUUUCAGCGAGGAAGAACGCCUAGCGGUUAAUACCCGUUAGGAAAGACAUCACUCGCAGAAGAAGCACCGGCUAACUCCGUGCCAGCAGCCGCGGUAAUACGGAGGGUGCAAGCGUUAAUCGGAAUUACUGGGCGUAAAGCGCGCGUAGGUGGCUUGAUAAGCCGGUUGUGAAAGCCCCGGGCUCAACCUGGGAACGGCAUCCGGAACUGUCAAGCUAGAGUGCAGGAGAGGAAGGUAGAAUUCCCGGUGUAGCGGUGAAAUGCGUAGAGAUCGGGAGGAAUACCAGUGGCGAAGGCGGCCUUCUGGACUGACACUGACACUGAGGUGCGAAAGCGUGGGUAGCAAACAGGAUUAGAUACCCUGGUAGUCCACGCCGUAAACGAUGUCGACCAGCCGUUGGGUGCCUAGCGCACUUUGUGGCGA
rnacentral:rRNA from 1 species